GACGUAGGAGACAAACGUUAUCCGGAGUUACUGGGCGUAAAGGGCGUGUAGGUGGUUUCGUAAGUCUGGCGUGAAAUUUCUCGGCUUAACCGAGGCAGGUCGUCGGAUACUGCGGAACUAGAGGACGGUAGAGGCGUGUGGAAUUCCGGGUGUAGUGGUGAAAUGCGUAGAGAUCCGGAGGAACACCAGUGGCGAAGGCGACACGCUGGGCCGUACCUGACACUGAGGCGCGAUAGCAUGGGGAGCAAACAGG
rnacentral:rRNA from 1 species